UGGGGAAUCUUCCGCAAUGGGCGAAAGCCUGACGGAGCAACGCCGCGUGAGUGAAGACGGCCUUCGGGUUGUAAAGCUCUGUUAUACGGGACGAAUAAUCUUGUGGUUAAUACCCAUGAGAAGUGACGGUACCGUAAGAGAAAGCCACGGCUAACUACGUGCCAGCAGCCGCGGUAAUACGUAGGUGGCAAGCGUUGUCCGGAAUUAUUGGGCGUAAAGGGCGCGCAGGCGGCUUCUUAAGUCUGUCUUAAAAGUGCGGGGCUUAACCCCGUGAUGGGAUGGAAACUGGGAAGCUCAGAGUAUCGGAGAGGAAGGCGGAAUUCCUAGUGUAGCGGUGAAAUGCGUAGAUAUUAGGAGGAACACCAGUGGCGAAAGCGGCUUUCUGGACGAAAACUGACGCUGAGGCGCGAAAGCCAGGGGAGCGAACGGGAUUAGAUACCCCGGUGGUCCUGGCCGUAAACGAUGGGUACCAGGUGUAGGAGGUAUCGACCCCUUCUGUGCCGGAGUUAACGCAAUAAGUACCCCGCCUGGGGAGUACGGCCGCAAGGUUG
rnacentral:rRNA from 1 species